GGGUCUUUUUAUAUAAACUUUUAAAGAAGCGAUCCACCGAUUGUAACGUUUCAAUCAGCCGAUUGAACGCUACACCAAGCUCCGCUUGGUAUUUGUCCCUCGUACUAUAUAUUUAUAUAAGCGACCCUACUAUCGUCAAAUUAAUUUCUUCAAUUCUUUUAAGGUAUUUAAACCGAUACAAAUUUGUACCGGCUCAUUUUCCAUUACCACGUAAAUGAGAGACAAUAUCUGAUAAAUUAUUAUAUUUGUGUGUAGGCCGUUAGAUAUACGGCCGCUUCCUUGGAAAUAAAGCUGCAGGCGAACACUACAUGGGAAAGCAACUGUAGCUGGAGAAAACUAUCUUGGAGAGCAGAACGCGACAGCGACAUCUCGCAACAGCCCACAGUAUCCUGAAUCCAACUACUGAUCUACUGAUGCAUCAGAAGAAUGGCUUCAAGAAGAUAGUCUUAGAAUUCCCACAGAUACCGACAGCAACAGAAAGUUCUACAGAGAUUGGAGACCUCUUAUAAGAACUGUGUGACUCCGACAAGAGGACUUAAAGCUGAGUACCUUUCUUAUUUUUAUAACUUUUAUAUCGGUGACCAGCAGGGUCUCGGUCACAGUUUCAGAAAAUUAAUUCGGUUGCCUGUACAUAAUAGAAUGAUUUUUGUUAAUUUUUUUUAUCUGAAUAAAUAGUGUAUAUAAAAUGA
rnacentral:lncRNA from 1 species